rnacentral:lncRNA from 1 species
AGAAAGAGAGCAGGGCGGAUUUCAGAGCUCAGCGCUUUAUAUUUCACCCGGUAUUAAGUGAUGUGGUGCUGAUACCUGGUUUAUUAUAAUCUGUGCCCUGGUCAUGCUUUAAACUGGGAGAGCAGCAGGUCCAGUGUCUAGUUCUGUGAAAAGAGCACAAACACCAGGAUGGAUCCUCCUUACUUCAGCAGGAAGGAAGAAGUAUAUGACUUGAAACUGCAGACAUUUAGAGCAGAACCUCCAGAGCCCAGCUGUGUGUCUAUGAAGAGCAACUAUUCCAUGGAGCAGCCUCAUAAUUUCAGUAAUGAAAGAAGCAGCACUGAUCUGAGACUGCAGACAAUUAGAGCAGACCCUCCAGAGCCCAGCGGUGUGUCAAUGAAGAGCAACUAUUCCAUGGAGCAGCCUCAUAAUUUCAGUAAUGAAAGAAGCAGCACUGAUUUGAGACUUCAGACAUUUAGAGCAGACCCUCCAGAGCCCAGCUAUGUGUCUGUGAACAGCACUUACUUGAUGAAUCAGCCUCUUUAUUUCAAAAAAAGAAGAAGCUCUGGCCUGAGACUGCAGACAUUCAAGGCAGAACCUCCAGAGCCCAGCUGUGUGUCUAUGAAGAGCAAUAAUUCCAUGGAGCAGCCUCAUUAUUUCAGUAAUGAAAGAAGCAGCAAUAAACUGAGAAAUACAUUCAGAGCAGAAUCUCCAGAGCCCAGCUGUGUGUCUAUUAAGAGCAGCCACUCGAUGCAUCAGCCUAUUUAUUUCAGUAAUGAAAGAAGCAGUACUGAUCUGAGCAAUGUAAAGAAUGGAUCAUUCCAGAAUCCAGAGUCCAGGUGUGGAGUGUGUGAGCAGAUUCAGACAGAUCCAGUCUCUAUCAC